UGCGGUUCUUGGGUGAUGCACCCGGAACCAGAGAGGAGGGAGCCUGAUUCCGAGGUGCGUCACCCAAGAACAGCC
rfam:Myotis lucifugus cont2.1311, whole genome shotgun sequence.